CAGGAAUUGUAGAAGGGGUUCCAGGAUUCGCAUGCCGAAUGGGCUUGCCGCCUGAGCAAGGCAGCCCAAAGCUGGCUGCCGUCCCAACAGGCAAAGACACUGGAGAUCAUCUUCUAGCUGUUAUAACAUUUCUAUAACGGACUGCACUCCGAGAUACAAGACUGGCCCAGAAGGCCAAUGAAUAUACUGAUACGCAGCGGCCCCAACGGCUGACAACCCCUCCAACCCACGUGCGCCUGGCACCCCAGUUUACUUCGCUCCCAGCCUCCCACUCCUGAGGGUCCCU